UAAAGUUCUCACCAAAAUCACAAAAUAUCGAUCCAAAAAGACCACGGCUGUCAGCAGCAAUAUAAGCAAUAUGGUUUUUGUGUGUAAAGUCGUUAAUUUCUAGCUGUUUCGUAAGAGAAGUUUCUGUGACAACCACGCAUUUGAAGUUUUUUAGAUACUCUGUUGAAAGUUCAUCAACUACAGAAACAGGCACAUAUUGAUUAAGCUCUGCUAACUUUGAUACCGUUACUUUUGCACGAGGAACACCAAUAUCGUCUUCUGUAAGAAAAUAUUGUGAUGAUAAGUCCUCAAUGCGUGUAGGUUGAGGAUCGUAAAGAGUAACGCUUUUUACACCUGCUAGACAAACGUUCUUUG